rnacentral:lncRNA from 1 species
UGCUGGGGAUGGAGCCAAGGACCUUAUGAAUGCUAAGCAUGUGCUCAGCCACCCAGCUACAGCCUCCAUGGCAGCCCUUCGCCUUAGCCGCUGGAUGUGGUUUUCUGCCUGUGUCGAUCAGAGCCACCUGAGACAAGCACCUCAGUGAAGGUCACCUUAGACCAGCUUACCCUAUGCUACUCACAGCUGGAGACCUAGGAGAGCUGGUGGUGUAGUUCAAAGGUAGCAAGGUGGAGAGAGGAUGAUACAGAGUCUACACAAGUCUAAACAUCUGAGUACAGAAGCACCCAGCACGGAUGAGUGUUCCAGCUC